rnacentral:sRNA from 2 species
CCCGGACAACCGCCGAAUCGUCGAUACGAACCGGGGAACCAACCGCACCACUGGGGUGAAUCCGCAUACGCGGUAGGGGACUUCCCAUCCCGACCCCGUCAGCUAACCCGGUAGGCGGCAGGGCCUGACCGU